rnacentral:rRNA from 1 species
ACGGCUGAGUAACACGUAGGAACGUACCCCAAACUGAGGGAUAAGCAUCGGAAACGAUGUCUAAUACCGCAUGUGCUCUUCGGAGUAAAGCUUCGGCGGUUUGGGAACGGCCUGCGCAUGAUUAGCUUGUUGGUGAGGUAAUGGCUCACCAAGGCGACGAUCAUUAGCUGGUCUGAGAGGAUGAUCAGCCAGACUGGGACUGAGAACGGCCCAG